rnacentral:lncRNA from 1 species
CCUCCUGGUUCUGCUGGUCAGAGCUCGGCUGACCAACAUGGCUGAAGGACACGACGAGGCCUCCCUCUCCUCCCCCCAUGCCCCUCCCCCCCUCAGCCGCCGUGGACUCUCACGGUGCCGGAGAAGGCCUCUGAAGGCCUCCGGGUCCAGCGGUCGUCCUCCGGCUUCUACGAGGAGCUCUUCUGGAGCCUCCAGGCUCCCGUCCCCCUGGCUGGCGCCUUCGUGUCCUCCGGGCCGCACAGCGACGUGGUGAAGCAGGGCUACCUGGGGAAGCUGGAGAGGAACCGCAGGAGGUACUUUGUUCUGAGAGCGGGGAGUCACACCGGGCCGAGCCGACUGGAGUGGUACAGGAACCGGGAAAAGUUCACAGCGGCGGAGAAAUCUGCUGGGAGGACGGCGCCGUUCGGAAGCAGCAAAGCAGGGUUUGUGGAGGUCACAGCCGCCCGGUCCACGCCGACCCCCCCGUGAACGUCUCUGCUCUACCCUCCCAGAACCCUCUACCUGCGCUGCUGCCUCGGCGUCAGCCGGAUCGGGGACUCCCGCAGGGGCCACACGCUGGAGCUGUACGCCAAGGACCGCACCCUGGUGCUGCUGGCGGAGGACCGGCAGCAGAACCAGGACUGGUACGUGGCCGUCAAGACGCUGAUGGAGGAGGAGCGAGAGAGACGAGGAGCAGGGAGGAGGCGCUGAUGAAGACGAUGACGGGUACUGCACCCUCCCCCCCGGAGCCUUCUUCAAAGAGGUGGAGCGUCUUCUGUCUCACCCGUCUGCAGGUUGCGUUCAGGCGCUCCUCCGUGAAGGUUCAUGACCUUUGACCUCCUCCUCGCCGCAGGUGUGGCCCGUCACGGUGAAGCCUCGCGGUCUGGGCAGCUCCAAACCGCUCACCGGGGAGAACCGGCUCUGCCUCACCGCCACCUCCCUCGUCUUGGUCCGCCUCGGAGCCGGUGCGGAGCUGCCGUCCGUCAGCAUCCCUCUGCUGAGCGUGCGACGGUUCGGACACCUGGACGGCCUGUUCUACCUGGAGCUGGGCCGGUCGGCGCCCGGCGGGGCCGGGGAGAUCUGGAUGGAGGCGAAGCAGCAAGCCCUCGCCCAGCAGAUCCACGAGUCCAUUCGGGAGACGGUCUGCGGGCCCUGCGAGCCCUGCCGGACCUGGGCGGGUCGCCGGCCUCCGGCCACAGCCAGCGACCGGGCCUUCUGGCCUCAAAGCGCUGCCGACACAAACCCAGAGACAGGCCGGGGAACGCGAGGCCGCCACAAUCCAGAACCACAAUCCAGAACCCGCAGACGAGCCCCGCCCUGAGGUCCAACCAGAGCGAUGACGGCAAGCAGGACUCCACGACCUCUGACCUCAGUCCCUCCGGAGCCCGGCAGGGCCCGGCAGCCUGCAACCUGCGGAACUGGGGCUGGUCGGAGGGGGAGGAGCCGCUGGGGUACAUGGUCAUGUCCCCCCAGGCCGGCAUCAAACCCUCGGCUCCGCCUCCGGAUGACUACGUCACCAUGGAGAGCCCGCAGAGGCUGGAGCGGACGGCGUGCUCCUCCUCCUCCUCCUCCUCCUCCUCCCUUCACACGACCUUCAGCAGCCUCGCCUGCGACAGCCCGUCGUCUCUGCACGCCGUCGGCGUUCCUCUUUCUCCGGUUCCCGGUGAGGCUCAGAGGAGCUCCGACCGCUCUCCUCCCGCUCGGGUCUGGAGGGCGUCCUGCGGCUCGGCUCUGCCAGACCCCGAUCUCCUCCGGUCUGCGGUCAGAAGAUCCUGGCUGCCGCCGUGUUUUCUGUCGUGUCUGAAAGGCGGAGACAGAAGCUGACGGCUGGAGGCGGCGCCGAUCAACCUGCAGACCUGAUCGUUCCUCACCUGGACUCCUCCUGGGGUCUGAAGAUCAGAAGUUCUGCAGGUUUCAGAAACAUGAAGAGAAUAAAGUUCAUGCUCUACACCAGGGGUCCCCAAACUUUGUCUUGUGAGGGUCCGAUAACUGUGUUCUUCUCUGAUGGGGGCCAGGUCAGUUUGUAGACUGACAGAAAAUUUGUAACAAUGCAGCCUUUCUCAGGUUUCUAGGUUUUCCAGAGAGCCACAUGAAGCCAAAUUUGAAAUAAUUCCUUUCCGUAAUUUUCAUAGAAGAAAAAUAAUAACAAAAAAUAAAAGAUACUAAAACAUUUUUAAAACUAGAUCAAUAGAUGUUGAUAACUGAAAAUGUUUAAUUUGAUAAAUAAAAAACACUGAAGCUGAGAGCUAAAAGCGCAGAAGUUCA